CCUUGCGCGCCCCCUCCGCCGCCCGCUCCCCGCGGGAAGGCGCGGGUCGAACUGCGCAUGCGGGCGGCGGCAGGCCGGGCGGCGACGCUGGCGGGGCGGCCGUGGUCACGUGAUCACGGGGCGCUCUCCGCGGCGCGCUGCGCAUGCGCGGGGCGGAUGUUAGCGCCGUCGUUAGCACCGCCAGCGCUGGGGCUCUAUGGGGAGAACAUGGCUCCUUUUCCCGAGGAGGUGGAUGUCUUCUCGGCUCCACACUGGCGGAUGAAGCAGCUCGUGGGGCUUUACUGCGACAAGCUUUCCAAGACCAACUUCUCCAACAACAAUGAUUUUCGGGCUCUUCUGCAAUCUCUUUAUGCCACAUUCAAGGAAUUUAAAAUGCAUGAACAGAUUGAAAAUGAGUGUAUCAUUGGUUUACUUCAGCAACGUAGCCGGACAGUGUACAAUGUGCACUCGGACAACAAACUCUCAGAGAUGCUUAGCCUCUUUGAGAAAGGGUUAAAGAAUGUAAAGAAUGAAUAUGAACAGCUAAACUAUGCGAAACAGCUGAAGGAGAGAUUGGAAGCCUUUACCAGGGAUUUCCUUCCUCAUAUGAAAGAGGAAGAGGAGGUUUUUCAGCCAAUGUUGAUGGAAUACUUUACUUAUGAAGAAUUGAAAGAUAUUAAGAAGAAAGUAAUUGCACAGCACUGCUCACAGAAGGAGGCUGCAGAAUUCAGAGGUCUUAGUAAGUGGAAUCAAGCAGAAGAGCUUCAGAAGGUCUUUAAGUAUUCUGUGGAUGAGAAGGCAGAUCAAGAAACUGAAGUAACAGGGCACACCGCAGAUAUUACUAAUCUUCCUCCUGAAGUAAUGCUGACCAUUUUCAGUUACCUUAACCCCCAAGAGUUAUGUCAGUGUAGUCAAGUAAGCACUGAAUGGUCACAAUUGGCUAAAACUGGAUCUCUUUGGAAACAUCUUUACCCUGUUCGUUGGGCCAGAGGUGAUUGGUAUAGCGGUCCUGCAGCGGAUCUUGAGACAGAACCUGAUGAGGAAUGGGUGAAAAAUAGACAAGAUGAAAGUCGUGCUUUCCAGGAAUGGGAUGAAGAUGCUGACAUAGAUGAAUCUGAAGAAGCAGCUGAAGAUUCGAUUGCCAUUAAUAUAGCACAAAUGGAAAAACGUUUACUUCAUGGCUUAAUUCAUAAUGUCCUCCCGCAUGUUGGCUCCUCAGUGAAGACAUUAGUAUUGGCCUACAGUUCUGCAGUAUCUAGCAAAAUGGUUAGACAGAUCUUGGAGCUUUGCCCCAACUUGGAAUAUUUGGAUCUCACUCAAACUGAUAUUUCAGAUUCUGCGUUUGAAAGUUGGUCUUCAGUUGGUUGUUGUCAAAAUCUACGCCACCUUGAUCUAUCUGGAUGUGAAAAAAUCACAGAUGUGGCUAUAGAGAGGAUUUCCAGAGCACUGGGUAUCAUAUCAACUCACCAUAACAGAGGUAUUCUGAAAAGCUGCAGAAACAGGAAUGCUAAGACUUUGUGGAAAAACAGAGAGAUUACUCUGCAGUCCAACAAGAAGUAUAAUUGUUUGCAUGAAAUCAACAAUGAAAACUUCACUGAGGGAGGAGAUAGUAAGCAGCAUUGGACUAAACCUGAUGGCUCAAAAGACUUCAAUUCUGCAUAUGUGUGGAUGCUAGAUGCAGAUGAUUUAGCUGACAUUGAAGAUGCUGCAGAGUGGAGACACAGAAAUGUUGAAGGAUUUUGUCUUAUGGAACCAACAUCCCAUAUUAGUUGUUCUGCAUCUUGCUACGGUAGAGACAUUUAUGGAUUAAGGACUAGAGGGUGGCAGCAGCACUGUGCUUCUACUGACUUAAUUUACUGCGGUCACUCAUUUUGUUGUGCUGGGACAGCACUAAGAACUAUUCGAGCACUUCCAGAGUCCUCUGCACUGUGUAAAAAACCAAGGACUAAGCAGUCAGAGAAAAAAGACUCUGCAUACUCUGGGAGUGAAAAAACAGAUGAAGAGACUGCACGAGUUCUUCAGUUUCUCAGUCUGUCUGGAUGUUACCAGAUCACAGACCGUGCUCUCAGGGCAUUGACUCUGGGAGGAGGACUGCCACGUUUGGAACACCUUAACCUCUCGGGUUGUCUCACUGUAACUGGUGCAGGCCUGCAGGAUUUAGUUUCUGCGUGCCCUUCUCUAAACGAUGAACACUUUUACUACUGUGACAACAUUAAUGCAGCAGCCAAAAAGCCACCAAUGUUAUGCAUCGUAAGGGUGUUGAGAACAAGAGAGAGGGUGUUGCUGCAUGGUCCUGGAAGCCUUGGGGCACUCGCAUUUGGAGUACUGCAUGCGGUUUUGGUCUCUCCAUCUUGAGGAGUGUAUGUAAUGGAGUUACAGAAGAUACAGAAGAGGCCUACUAAAGAGAUAGGGAACUGAGCAGCUGUCCUGCAAGGAGACACUCAGAAGGAUGGAAUGUUUCAAUAUGGGAAUGAGAAGGCAGGAAGGGGGAUGACUGUUUACAGAACUGGGAAGGCAGUAGAUGAGGUGAAUGUGCACCAGUAACUCUCCAAAUUCUGCAGUAUUAGAGCUCGGCCACAGUAGGUGAAAUGGGUAGGCGAUUGAUUUAAAGCAGAUGCAGAAUGUAGUGUACUUCUGGAACUUGGUCCCAUGGGGAAUUGUGGAAGCAGUUAAUAUCAGCAGGUUUAGAAAGAGGGUAAACAAAUGCAUGUACAACUGAACCAUAAACAAAUACUAAAGGGAAGGGACUUUAAUGUUCCUACUACAACAGUUAGGGAUGCUGGGGAGAUACAAAAGGGAUGCACAAGAGGCCUCUAUGAUCUCCCUAGGUAACGCUUGCUGUUGCCAGUGAUGAAGAUGGGUUUAAAUGGACCAUUGGCCAGACCUCGAAGGGCAGUUUUUAUGCUCCAGUUAUGAGCAUGAGGAACAACAUUCUUAAAAUGAGCAAUAAAAGGAUGGAAAACAAUAUUGAAGUAUACAGAGUAUUCCCUUCCUUGGGAUGUUGUGGUUCUGUACACUUUGUCAACAAACAUUUUACUAGAAAUGUGACAGUUGCUUCAAAAUUACUGAUGCGCUGCUUAGCUGUGGCAAUGAUGAGGAAGGUCAGCUACGCCUUGGAAAAUGCUGCUGCACAGAACAUGCUCUGCUAAACCAGCUGUUCAGAAGCACCGAGUCUCCUUUUUAAAGGACUUACGAAGAAGCUUUCAAACUCUAGCUCGUAAGUGACUUGGAGGAUCAAAAUUUAGUUCAAGUGAAUAAAAAAGACUUGAAAAGGAAAAUGAGCUUGACAAAUGAAGUUUACUAUUUUGUAUACCAUUGUCCUUCAUUAUAGCUCCAGGUCCUCAUGCUGAAACCGCCAGUGGAU